rnacentral:rRNA from 1 species
CGUAGGGGGCAAGCGUUGUCCGGAUUUAUUGGGCGUAAAGCGCGCGUAGGCGGCGCGGUAUGUCGUGCGUGAAAUCUCCCGGCUUAACUGGGAGGGGCCGUGCGAAACUGCCGGGCUUGAGGUCAGAAGGGGAAAGUGGAAUUCCGGGUGUAGUGGUGGAAUACGUAGAUAUCCGGAGGAACACCAGCGGCGAAGGCGGCUUUCUGGUCUGAUACUGACGCUGAGGCGCGAAAGCGUGGGGAGCGAUCCGGAUUAGAUACCCGGGUAGUCCACGCCGUAAACGAUGAGUACUAGGUGUCGGGGGUAUCGACCCCCUCGGUGCCGUCGCUAACGCAUUAAGUACUCCGCCUGGGGACUACGGCCGCAAGGCUA